UAAUGGCCAUUAAUAUACUUAUUAUAUUUGUAGCUAUCGACCUCUCUUUCUCCGCUCUGCUCCCUUCUCUCUUCUCCCUCGUCAGUCCAUCACUUGCAUCUACUUCUCUCCUCCUUGUACUCAAUUGAAACCAUCAUCCAAUGAAUCAAUCCUUCAAAUUGUUAAGCCUCAGCGCCUUGUCUUAGUUCUCAGUGGAUCUACCAAUUUUGUAUGAGUUUAUGCUUCUAAUCGAAGAUCCCCAAUUAUUUCAUUCAAAACCCUAAUCUCUCCCAAUCUCCCUUCAUCAGCAAUGGCCGCCGAAUUUACAGAGUCAAGAUCGAGAGAGAGAGAGAGAGAGAGAGAGCAAUAGCAAUGGGUAAAGAGGAAGAAAAGGAGAUCGAGACGUAAUAGGUAAGAGACAUGACUGCGAGACUAGUGUGCCGCUGCCGAUAUAAGUUAGACUUUGAUUGCCUCUCACCUCCUCUCUCAACAUAAGGAGAAACGCACCACAAUUUUUGUACAUGGCCGCUAUGAAAACCCAACAAUAGUGGUUCUUGAGGAGAAGUUCAGGUGGUGGCCAUUGUGACAACAACAGAUUGCUAUAGGAAUGCUCGAUAUUUACUGCGACCAUCCUUCCCAAAAUGGGGAUCAAGUAUUUAAUAGGCUACGCUCUUGGCAUUGUAGUCAAGAUUGAUGACUAGCAUUCGGGCUUUGAAAAGGUUCGUCAUUUGUGAACUGAUGCAUAAUGAAUCUCUGGAAACUCAAUUACACGAACAGAUGCUGCACUUAAUUUUUUGGUAGCUGUUGGUAAUUUUAAAUGUUCGUAAAGAUUUUUUAAAAGGUCGAGGAAGGUAUGUUAAUACUAGCAGUUGCUUCGAAUUUAGCUAUUUGUUCAGAUUCAUGCCUCUCGGCUACUAUCACUUGUGCUUAAUGUGUCUAUGUUUUUGGUGUUUAACCCCUGAUCUCUUGUGUUUAUUUGGUGAUAGCUACUCGAUCAUCAUGCAAGUUCACAGUUGAAAAUUUCAUAGAAGAUUUUGUGAAGUUUGAAUUAGGUGCAGUGUUUUGUAUAGACAUUAGAUUGUUGUAUGUACUCUUAAGGUAUUAAACCUCACUGGGGUUGACAGCUUGUAAUAGGUACGAUUGAACAAUGUAAUUUUUCCCUUAAUAUGAGGUAUGAAGAAAGUAUAAAUUCCAGAAGCUGAA